rnacentral:rRNA from 1 species
UACGUAGGAUCCGAGCGUUAUCCGGAAUUACUGGGCGUAAAGAGUUGCGUAGGUGGUUAUGUAAGCGAAUAGUGAAAUCGUGUGGCUCAACCAUACGGCUGUUAUUCGAACUACAUGACUUGAGUGCGAGAGAGGUAACUGGAAUUUCUAGUGUAGGAGUGAAAUCCGUAGAUAUUAGAAGGAACACCAAUGGCGAAGGCAGGUUACUGGCUCGUUACUGACACUGAGGCACGAAAGCGUGGGGAGCAAACGGG